GCGAGACUGCUGGGAAAACUUGCGCGCAGGCAGACUCUCGCGUUCUUUCCGAGGUCGACCUCGUGUGUGGAAGUCAUGGCUGUUCGCCUGCGUGCCGAACCUGACCCUUUGACUUCUGCAAAGGCGAGUUCAAAAGAAAAGGAGACUGUCUGGGAUCUAAGUGUUCCCCAAGAAAGCAGAAAUGGUGUAAUGGUCUAUCUGUGGUUUACAUUUUGUUCUGAAGCUAAGUUCAACUGAAUGCAUGUAUGCUGGUCUAAGUCCAUUUAGGGUGCUGACUGUGGACUUUGAAAGAAAUCAUAUGAAAAUUCAUCUUACAGUGUUGAGAUGAAGGAUCUUCAUGAUGAAAUUGCCAUAAAUAGUACAUUCUCGGUCUCAGUUUCUGAGGCUCAAAAAGGAUCCUUGGGUAGCUGCACUUCGUUGGCGGGCCCGGACCCAAAAUGUAUCAUUCAUGUUGUUUUUUUUGUUUGUUUGUUUGUUUUUUUUGUAUUUUUACCGGUACCAGGGAUCGAACUCACGACCACAGACUUGCAAGGCAUGCGCUUAUGCCGCUGAGCUAAACCCCCAGCCCCGUUCCUAGGUAUUUGUGAUAUGAGACAGUGCUGAACUGCUUUGCAGGCAUGCGAGAGCUCCCGAUAACUGGUCUCUCCCAGUGACGUUGGACCAUAUCACGCAGACCUGUUUCUCUCGAUGUCUAUAAAACCAUUUCCCCAAAAGGGACUUAAGGUUAUAGUUCUUUGGGUUUUAUCUAAGAAAUCUUUGACCGUUAGUGAAGUUAAGAGUGUGAGAACAUUGAGAAUCCUGUUAAGGUGGCAUAAUCUCCCAUACAGGAGGGACUGCAGAGAUUGUACAUUGAAAUUGACAUGUGUAUACUCUGUUGGGAGCCUAAUAGGACAAUGUGUUUAGCUUGGGGAAGACUUUCUAGGUGGGUUUUUUAAACUUCAAAGCACAAAUAAAGGUUUUUUUUUUUUUUUUAAUUGA